rnacentral:rRNA from 1 species
CGCGGCCUAUCAGCUUGUUGGUGGGGUAGUGGCUUACCAAGGCCUUGACGGGUAGCCGGCCUGAGAGGGUGACCGGCCACAUUGGGACUGAGAUACGGCCCAGACUCCUACGGGAGGCAGCAGUGGGGAAUAUUGCACAAUGGGCGGAAGCCUGAUGCAGCAACGCCGCGUGCGGGAUGACGGCCUUCGGGUUGUAAACCGCUUUCGCCUGUGACGAAGCGUGAGUGACGGUAAUGGGUAAAGAAGCACCGGCUAACUACGUGCCAGCAGCCGCGGUGAUACGUAGGGUGCGAGCGUUGUCCGGAUUUAUUGGGCGUAAAGGGCUCGUAGGUGGUUGAUCGCGUCGGAAGUGUAAUCUUGGGGCUUAACCCUGAGCGUGCUUUCGAUACGGGUUGACUUGAGGAAGGUAGGGGAGAAUGGAAUUCCUGGUGGAGCGGUGGAAUGCGCAGAUAUCAGGAGGAACACCAGUGGCGAAGGCGGUUCUCUGGGCCUUUCCUGACGCUGAGGAGCGAAAGCGUGGGGAGCGAACAGGCUUAGAUACCCUGGUAGUCCACGCUGUAAACGGUGGGUACUAGGUGUGGGGUCCAUUCCACGGGUUCCGUGCCGUAGCUAACGCUUUAAGUACCCCGCCUGGGGAGUACGG